UUUUCCAAUAGUGCGCCACAUCGCCCCCCGUUUGUACAGAGAUUUGUCCAAGUAGCACGCCCACAUGUUCUUCUCUCUUCGAGUCAAUUACUGCCUGCGCAAACGAUUUCCUCUCUCUCUGCAGAAAUCGUGGUCUCUGUUUUCUUCCCUCUACCACCUGAUUGUCCUUACAAUCAAAUCUCGUCAUCGUUCAAGUUUUCACACAUAGUUACAUAUAUAUACGUAUUUUUUGUAAAGAGGGAAACAAGGAUCAAAAAUGCCGCGAAAGAAUUUUAUAGUUGAAGUGGAACCAGCAAAGGAAGCUAGGCCACCGAUGGGACCAGUUUAUCGAAGUGUUUUUGCUAAGGAUGGAUUUCCGGAGCCGAUUCCAGGACUUGACUGCUGCUGGGAUAUUUUCCGGUGAAUUUUUUGACCCUCUGUGUUCUCGAGUUUAUUUGAAAAGUGAUUUGGAGAUUUAUUUGCAUAAUUUUAUUCAACAUUUAUCAAUUCAUUUUCGUAUUUUGAUGUUUUGGAUUCGAAGUUUAAUUGUGGAGAGGUAUUUUGAAGUGUGUGUGUUGAAUCUGUUAAUGAUUUUUCCUAUUUUCCCCCCCCUUCCUGUUAUUACGUCUCAUUGCAGGUUUGACUUUUAUAAGAUGUCAAGAUUUGAUGUGUAAAAUAUGGAAUUUUGCAAUUGAUUUUGCACAGACUUGACAAAAAGAUCUGAGUUACUACUGGUUAAAGUUUGUCUUUAUCCGCUGCAUCACUCAAAACUGAAGUUUCUGCUUUAGAUGGAGUUAUGGAAGUUUUCAACUUGAAAGCUACAAAAUUGACUACGCAAAUAUGGAUAUACCACACUUACAUGAAUUUGAUGCACAUAUAUAUCACAAUAUGUAUACACCACAAUUUGAUGUGCAUAUAUAUGUUAAAUGUAUAGGAGCAAAAAGAAAUUGUGUUUUGGAAAAUUGAUUUUGAUGAAUAUGGAAGUUUUUAGCAUGAAAGCCAUGAUCUUGACUGCACAAAUAAGGAUAUACCCCAGUUUGAUGAUUUUGAUGCACAUAUAUGCCCCACGAACUUUUCACCUCAAGUGGCUACCUUGGAUCUGAACCAUUAAAUCAAAUUCAUAUCGAUGAUGAGCUACCAAGCCAAAAUGUAUAUACUUUCCUAUUUCUAUUUUUCUGAGAAUUGUUGGAAUAAUCAGUGUACGCUUUUAUUCCCCUAUGUGUUAGUGCCCUAGUUUAUGCAUUAUUGCAUCAGCAAGUCAAGUGUUUACCAUUGAAAAGAAAAGAAGGAUUAAUUAGCUUGCUUGAGUUAGUUCCAAUAGUUGAUUUGAUAGUAUGGUUGCAUAAAUAUACUGCUUGAAUUAUACCUCUUUGCCUUUCAUUUCACUUUUUAUGUUGAACAUAGAUUGAACUCAACUUUUUUCUGUCACAGUUUGUCAGUAGAUAAAUAUCCAAAUAACCGAAUGCUUGGUCGUCGUGAGAUCGUUGAUGGAAAGGUAGAUUGCAUGGUAGAAGCAAUUUAUGCAUCCAUGCUUGUAACAUUGACUUCCUACUUAUUUUCCCCCCUUUUCAUUUGAUGCGGACUGGCAAGAAAGGAUUCAUGGCUACCCCCAAUUAUUGUAUAUAAGACUUAGUUCAUAGUUUGUGGUUGUUUUGUAUUACACCUAAUUUUUGGAGUUGUUGCUUUUACUUACAGCCCGAUAAAUAUGUAUGGAUGACUUACCAAGAAGUAUAUGACUUAGUGGUCAAAGUUGGGAACUCCAUUCGCAGCUGCGGCAUUGAGGAAGUAAGUUGUUAUCUAGUGUGUCUCAAAACUUUCUCUCAUAGCUGCUUUCUAGUCUGUCUUCUGUGUUUGAUAAGAAAUGAAAUUCUAUUAAUGAAAAGGCUAUAUUCAUUAUUCAUGGUGGGAUUAGAUGUCCUUUGAAAUCAUGAAGAAUUAUUUCCAACUGAGAACAAAUGCCUUAGAUGUUGAGGCCCAUAAGUAACAAUGACAAGAAUUUUGUCUAUUCCCAUAACUCAAGAAUAUCUUUCUUCUCUCUUUCAAAAUUCUGCAAUUGCUCUCUUUCUAUAUCACCCUGAAGGACAGCAACAUUACUAUGCCUUUCUUCCCAAACAAAAACCAAUUUACAUUUAGAGGAAUAAAUGAAGCUAAGUCUACUUCAUGCAAUAAUCCUCCAUGUAGCAUCCAUG
rnacentral:lncRNA from 1 species